rnacentral:rRNA from 1 species
UACGGAGGGGGGCUAGCGUUGUUCGGAAUUACUGGGCGUAAAGCGCACGUAGGCGGCUUUGUAAGUUAGAGGUGAAAGCCCAGGGCUUAACCCUGGAAUUGCCUUUAAGACUGCAUCGCUAGAAUCGUGGAGAGGUGAGUGGAAUUCCGAGUGUAGAGGUGAAAUUCGUAGAUAUUCGGAAGAACACCAGUGGCGAAGGCGACUCACUGGACCAUUACUGACGCUGAGGCACGAAAGCUAGGGGAGCAAACAGG